GCGUUUACCCUUGGUCAGUUAACCAAUAAUUACAUGUAUUAAAUAACGAUUUCCGUAUCUGAUAAUUUGAUAUGCAGUAAAAAAAAUAGUUCAAUUUUUCGCGUUUCCUUGGUGACUAUUUUUUUUUACAUGAAUAAAUAAACUUAGAAUUAUAUUAUAAGUUGUAGAUAUAUCAUAUAUUAUAUUAACCUGGUAGCUUUUGUCGAGUUGAGACAAAAGAAGUCCCCAAUAUGUAUACCAGCCACUGAUAUCAGCUUGCUGUGUCGUGUUCAAAUGUUUACGUCCAAUAACCCAUCGAACACUUAAUGACCGAUUUCCAGUACACCUGACCUUAGUCUAUUUUUACAGUUUUUUUCAAAAUAACAACUUAAGUAAAAUGUUUACUUAUAUUUUCAAAUCAGAAGCAAAAUACUCUGUGACAAUUGAAGAAAAAAUGUAGCGGUAUUACAGUGUUAACUUUUG
rnacentral:lncRNA from 1 species